UGAGCGACUAAAACACGGUAUAGAUGCUGGUUUCAGCUCUUUCGAAUCAACGUAUUCCUUCAGUCGCUGUGCAUCGUCCUUCCAGUGCAACUGGCCGGUGUCUUGAAUGACGCUUCUUCAAGCCGUAAUUUUUUACGUAUUCACAGGCCUGAAUUAUUGAAACGUUGCUUUCAAGGCUGCGUAAGCGAGCUGUUCUUCAAAGCAGCUCCAUUACAGAAUGGCUACUUUCUCAGUUUCUUCGUCCAAAUCACACGUUCAACUUAUGGUUCAGAAAUUCGAGAUGCAAGGCGGUAGCUCACCUAACGGUGAUCGUCAAACACAACAUGGAAAGCAAAAACCCAAGUUCAAAGUGGACUUGGUGUUUUGGAGACCUCCACCCAGAAGGAAAUGGAAGCUUCGCUCCUCAGCCGGAAAGGGAGAAAGCUCCGAUGCGUUGUCGCGUGCGUUCAAGCACUGGGCCGUGCUGUGUUGCCUUGACAAUGGGGCUUCGUAUGUGGUAGAUGCUGUGCAGGAAAAUGGCGUUCUCAAUGGACGUCUUAAAACCAACGACGCGAAAUGCAAACCACUUGAAAAGCUAUCACUCGGCGUUUAUCCGCUAGACUAUGGCGAUAUAACGAAAGCUUUCGGAGAGAUUGCAAAACCAGGAAAGUACAGCGUGAUGAAAAACAACUGUCAAGAAUGGGUCAUCGACUUGUUAAGAACAAUGAAGAUCAGUGUACCACCGGAAGUAAGAACAAUUGCCGACCUCAUAUCAAGACUUCGUCUUCUUUCCGGC